rnacentral:lncRNA from 1 species
GUUAAUCUUUGGGUUAUAUGCUGAUAUUUGGACAUUAUGCUCAUUCACUGCCAAUCCACAACACAAUAUCUGCAUUUAACCACAUCUACAUACAUGCGUGAUGACACAUCUGAAGACCGUUGGCAUGGUAACCGGAGGGUGAGUAUGGUUCCAUCAUUUUCCAAUGUGAUCCAGUGGGCCAAGAGUGAACAGUGAGCUGAAUGUUGAAUGAAGAGGAGGAGGGACAGGUGGAUUAGGCCUCUUCACAUCACUUUACUGGAGUGGGAGCUGGUGUUGCAUCAUUGCCGGGAUAAAACCUCAGGUGGGCGUUGAGAGCGGUUUCAGAGAGGCUGGCAGCGCCUCUCCACUGAAAUCACAACUUAAGAAACUAUUCGAUGAUAUCCAGAAAUAAAAGCCAAAAUAAUAACAGACUGUCAACUCGACAAGACUGGGUUUGAACAGAGACCCGGGCCAAAUCUGGAACUUAGUGAGUGGAUCCUCUGCUGGUCUCUGUGUACCCCCGUUUACUGCCAAAGCGCGCCCAGAGAGCUGAAACAAGUCCGUCUCUGUUUGAUCGAGCUCCGGCUCGUUUGCACCAGAUGGUUUGAAGUCUUUGUCAGCGUUCAUAAUGACCACAGAGGAGUUGAGAUGAAAUCUGAGCAGUACGUCAAAUUACAGACUCGCUAAUUAGUACAAAUAUGGGUGGGGCUUCAUUCCUUUAAGCCUCAUAACAGGAAGUAAAACAGGUUAUAAUACAAAUGUACGAUCUCUGUUAUCUUGACAGUAGGGCUGGGCGAUAUAGGAAAAAGUUUCAGUCGAUUUCGAUAAAUAGGAUAUAAAAAAUGAAAUGUAACAGUGUUUAUUGGUCUCAUGUCUUUUCCAACACAAUAAUCUCCUGCAUCUGUGAGGUCUUUGUGUCUCUUUGGCGUUUUGUCGUAAGGCGUCGCUCUAGAGAAAGCCGACUGAAUGGUCGUCUGUUUCGGCUCCUCGCUCCUCUCGGGGUUUGUAACCUUUUGCGUUGCGCGUGCUCUGCGGCGUGGCGCUGCUUCAGGUGUUGAAAAAGAUUUGAGGUAUUCCCCGACUUUGUGAGAACAUGUACUCGACAUAAUUUACAGUCCACAUUACUCUGCUUCAUGUCCGACCUCCAAAAACCAAAAUACCUCCACACCACCGACGUUUUCCUAACGCCAGUGUUGUGGUUGACAUUGAUGUGGUCAUCUGUUGAGCCUUCAUGGUCAUUUCUGUCGGGGGUAGCACUCAUUUUCUUUGUUUCUCACCAACAGUGCUGUUGGCUUCACCUGUUAAAGUGCUAUGGUUGGGUGGAGCUGCUGUCUGCUGUGAUGGAGUUGUCUCUUUCUCUCCAGGUAACUGUCCGCAGCAGCAGCAGCAGCAGUGACUGAAAGUUGUCUGACUUUUUCACACGUCUGCGCUCCAUCCCGGUUUCUUAUUUUAUGUAAAUGUGCUCGGCUAGAAGUCAUGCUGACGAAUGGAAACGGUUCUUCAAUGUGACUUCAUCUUUCAAAUAUAAAAAUCUGCAGGGGCGAAACUAUCCUGAUAUUUAAUCACUAGUUUAAAGAAAGGUUUUGAAGCAGACACAUUUUUCUUUUCACAAGAUGCAACAAAUGAUCUCCUUUAAUGAGAGUCUCAGCGGUAAAUGUCAACAUCCUCCAGACUCCGAACCUUUGGAUGGCUCUGAAAAAAACUCUGAAAUGUUGGUGUCUUUAUUCUGAAGCGUCACUCAGCUCCUGUCAUGUUCAGACCAUGAUCACAGUCAUGAUACCGUCUUCUAACAUGAGCUGGACCACUCAUGACCCAUCAGCCUCCAAAAGCCCGGCGUGCCCAGAGACGGUCUGGGAGGAUUUAUUCAGCUGCUCUUUAAUGAACACCAAAUCUGUAGUGUCCUUGCAGACAACCGCCGAGAGGUCAUUUUAUUCAUUAGUGCACUCCAGCAAACAGCGCUGCUGCUGUCUGCAGGGGAGGGACUCCAUAGUACAGUGCAUUUAUGCAGCUUUUACAAAGCCCACAAAAUCCACAGACAAAGUGGAAGGCCUGUUGUUUCUACAGGGGGGAGAGCUUUGUGGAGGCUGCAGGCCUAUCUGCUGGUGUAACCCUGUAGAGCGCGGCCGCAUCUGCAUGCAUUAGGUUCUGCAGCUCGCGAUCAAUAGUGGAGAAGCUUCAAAGAGGACGGCAUUGUGCCAGAGGGCUCCGCAGAGGAGACGUGCUCGGCUCAGAAGCAUCAGAGAGCGUGGAUCCAGGCUGCUAUUGUGCCGUGUGUUUUACAUUUGCCCUCUCGCAUGCAGAGAGCAAACAAACACGGUGAUGGGCACCUCUGCUCCGGACUUAGAGGGAGGAGACCAGCAACAGCACCGAGACACAGUGGGUCUCUCUGCGUGGAGCACAUGAGUGUCACUAAAUUUAGCAGCAUCAUCAUGUGGAGCGGGUUUUUACAGAAGCAGAACUCCACCAAAGGUAGACAUACUGUACAUGAGGCCAAAGUUCUGGGUGUAAACCAGCUGCUGAGCUCCAGUUUUUCCACAAGUCUCUGGACCAGAACUUCAGGGAUUUCCACCAUCCAGCUAUGAGAGCAUUAGUGGGAUCACCAUGGAUGUCGGGGGACGAGGUCUGGCUCUCAGUCAGGUUCAGCCUGAGUUCAGGUUCAUCCCUGAUGUGUUGGAAUGUAGGACUCUGUGCAAAGUUUGUCCUCAAACUUACGGUGGAAACGAUCCUGGUUUGGAUCAGAGGUCCGACCAGCAGGAUUUAGAGUUAGGGGGGAACUUCAGGAUUAUCUGUGGUGGGAUAAAGUAACAGGUACUGCCCACCUGAGUCAGUUAUGUCAAAGAUACGAGACAAAAAACAGAGUCUAGUCUGCCGAAGGAGGGGGGAGAGAGAGUUUAAUGAAGCCCAAAGCAGCUCAGCGGCUUUUAAAGAAGGAAAAUAUUCAUGUACCUUUCAGCAGUACGAUACAACAGAGACGAACCCGAGCUCCAAAGUCUGGAGUCUGUUCCUGUCAGAAGACGGAGGAGACUCUCAAAACUUUCAAUUCAAGUCAAACUCUGAACGGAGAGACAUGGAGGACAUGUGUGUGUUUCUGUGUAUAUUCACAGAAUCAUGUAAAUUUAUACUUAUUAAAUUCACAAAGAAGAGGAGUCUGAAUCCUGAUAAUAACAUUAUUAUUAUCAUUAUUAUUAUUAUUAUUAUUAUUAUAAAAAUUAUUAUUAUCAUUAUUAUUAUUAUUAUUAUUAUUAUUAUCAUUAUUAUUAUUAUUGUGUUGUUAUGUUUUGGCAAUAUUGUAUUAACAGUCAUGCCAAUAAAGCUCAUUAAAAUUGAAAUUAAAAUAGAGAGUGACUGAUCCACACGGUUGUAAACAGGACCAGAAAAACUCUUUUUUUUUUUUACUUCAGCUAAGCCCCGCCCACCAAAAACACCAUCCUGUUUCCAACCAAUGACAGAGUGCACACAAACCCAUGUGACCAGGGCUGUCCACAGAAGUUUGUCCAUCUGCUAAAACGAUAAAAUAAUGAAACAAGGACAGAUGGUUAUCGAAUGUUAAUUUCAGACAGGACACCAGCAGCAGACGAAGAUCUGUAUAACAUAGAUAGACAGGCAGACUUGUGCCACAGGUGAUGAUGAUCUAGUGCCAAAGAUCUGGGAUUGUCGUUAAGAGAAGCACAAACAGUUCUGGGAAGAAUAAUGAAGGAGUGUUUCAUUUUUGACAGACUGUGGAGAUCCCUCUGAUUAUGAAGGAGGAGAACUGGAACAUCUUUCUUCUUGUGUCGCUGUCUCCCACUGUGAAUAAUGAGAGGUGUUUCAUAACAGACCGUAUGAAUACAGUAUUAGUUAUUAAUGAGAGACAAUGGUGAUGGGGAGAGGAAACAUGACGGGGAAGUCAAAUUAGACCCUCACCUGUGUGUGUGUGUGUGGGGGGGGGGG